rnacentral:rRNA from 1 species
AACGAACGCUGGCGGCAUGCCUAACACAUGCAAGUCGAACGAGAUCUUCGGGUCUAGUGGCGCACGGGUGCGUAACGCGUGGGAAUCUGCCCUUUGGUUCGGGAUAACAGUUGGAAACGACUGCUAAUACCGGAUGAUGACGAAAGUCCAAAGAUUUAUCGCCAGAGGAUGAGCCCGCGUAGGAUUAGCUAGUUGGUGUGGUAAAGGCGCACCAAGGCGACGAUCCUUAGCUGGUCUGAGAGGAUGAUCAGCCACACUGGGACUGAGACACGGCCCAGACUCCUACGGGAGGCAGCAGUGGGGAAUAUUGGACAAUGGGCGAAAGCCUGAUCCAGCAAUGCCGCGUGAGUGAUGAGGGCCUUAGGGUUGUAAAGCUCUUUUACCCGGGAUGAUAAUGACAGUACCGGGAGAAUAAGCUCCGGCUAACUCCGUGCCAGCCGCCGCAGUAA